rnacentral:rRNA from 1 species
UACGUAGGGUGCGAGCGUUGUCCGGAAUUACUGGGCGUAAAGAGCUCGUAGGCGGCUUGUCGCGUCGGCUGUGAAAACCUGGGGCUCAACCCCGAGCCUGCAGUCGAUACGGGCAGACUUGAGUGCGGUAGGGGAGACUGGAAUUCCUGGUGUAGCGGUGAAAUGCGCAGAUAUCUGGAGGAACACCGGUGGCGAAGGCGGCAUCCUGGACCAACACUGACGCUGAGGAGCGAAAGCCAGGGGAGCAAAGCGGG